UACGUAGGGUGCAAGCGUUGUCCGGAAUUAUUGGGCGUAAAGAGCUCGUAGGCGGUUUGUCGCGUCUGCUGUGAAAACCCGAGGCUCAACCUCGGGCCUGCAGUGGGUACGGGCAGACUAGAGUGCUGUAGGGGAGAUUGGAAUUCCUGGUGUAGCGGUGGAAUGCGCAGAUAUCAGGAGGAACACCAAUGGCGAAGGCAGAUCUCUGGGCCGUAACUGACGCUGAGGAGCGAAAGCAUGGGGAGCGAACAGG
rnacentral:rRNA from 1 species